rnacentral:rRNA from 1 species
AUUGAACGCUGGCGGCAGGCUUAACACAUGCAAGUCGAGCGGAGCGAGGGUGCUUGCACCUUAGCUUAGCGGCGGACGGGUGAGUAAUGCUUAGGAGUCUGCCUAUUAGUGGGGGACAACAUUCCGAAAGGGAUGCUAAUACCGCAUACGCCCUACGGGGGAAAGCAGGGGAUCUUCGGACCUUGCUCUAAUAGAUGAGCCUAAGUCGGAUUAGCUAGUUGGUGGGGUAAAGGCCUACCAAGGCGACGAUCUGUAGCGGGUCUGAGAGGAUGAUCCGCCACACUGGGACUGAGACACGGCCCAGACUCCUACGGGAGGCAGCGGUGGGGAAUAUUGGACAAUGGGGGGAACCCUGAUCCAGCCAUGCCGCGUGUGUGAAGAAGGCCUUAUGGUUGUAAAGCACUUUAAGCGAGGAGGAGGCUACUGAGACUAAUACUCUUGGAUAGUGGACGUUACUCGCAGAAUAAGCACCGGCUAACUCUGUGCCAGCAGCCGCCGUAAAAC